rnacentral:lncRNA from 1 species
GCCACAGCAGAAGCUGGAAUUUCUAGAACUUCCCUCCAACGGUAGCAUUUCCAUGCAACGUUCAACCCUAAUCCUUGGAGUAUAAAUAGAGGCUGUAGAUUGAAAGAAGCGGCUAGAAGCAUUCACACACGCGCAAGAAAUAUUCAAAUCCUUCUAAGCUUUCUUUCAUCUUGAAUUUCAUUGUGUUUACUAUAAGCUUUUUAGAAGCACUUUCUUUGUAAACAAGAACUUCAUAUACAGUUGUAUAGUUUGCCUUUAGAAGAUCAAGGUUGAUCGGAUCCUAGAGAAGACUAAGAGAGUGAAUCUUAGUGUGAGCUAAGUCAGUGUAUUGUUAGUCACUUGUAGGUUUCAAGUGCAGUUGUAACACAUACCUGAUUAGUGGAUUGCCUUCAUUCUAAGAAGGAAGAAAUCACCUUAACGGGUGGACUGGAUUAGCUUGAGUGAUUUAUCAAGUGAAC